rnacentral:rRNA from 1 species
AUGGCGUUGGCCGCUUUUGCACACUUCUCCUCUGUGCUAGGCACGCACGCGGAAUGUGGUGCUACCCUCAACCUGGCGGCCAUUGGCGACCCUUCUGUUGACCUCUCCGCCUUGGAACAACCUUUCUCCUCCGACGAAAUCUGGGAGGCAAUCAAGCGGCUUCCCUCUGGCAAGGCACCCGGUCCGGACGGAUUGACGACCGAGUUCCUGCGUGCUUGCUGGCCCAUUAUCAAGGAGGAUCUCUGCGAGGUUUUCGACAAGCUCUAUGCCCUAAAUGGCCAGGCCUUCCAGCUCUCAUCACCUUGCUGCCCAGACGGCCCAAUGCCUCGUCCCUCUUCGACUACCGCCCGAUCAGCCUCAUACACCUUGUGGCAAAGCUUUUCGCCAAGGUUCUGUCUCUCUGGUUGGCGUCGCGCCUCGGUGAGCUCGUUUCCUCUAAACAGAGCGCAUUCAUAG